GGAAGUAACCAUAGUACCACUUAUUAGUGGGGGCCUCUGGGUACAUAAAUGUGUCCUCCCAAAUAGUCAUCAUACAUUCAAUGUAUUGGUUAGGGCCAAAAUCCCUAAACCACCUCUCAACAAAACAUUACACCUUUGGUUCUUUAUUAUGCAAAAAUUACAAAUUGGCAAAUUCAAUAAGAGGAUGCAAUGGAUUUGAGCAUCACAGCCAAUUGCUUAUACUAAAAUAUUUUAAUUCUCAGACUCUCUUUCCCUCAUACCUUUCCCUUCCCCACC
rnacentral:lncRNA from 1 species